GCUUUCGUGGUGUAGUGGUCAGCAUACUGGGGCGUAUUCCAGAGGUCCAUGGUUCGAAUCCAGGUAAUGGCG
rnacentral:tRNA from 1 species